rnacentral:sRNA from 1 species
AAAGAAAAAGAGGACUCCGCAAGAAGAUCAAUGGGAUGGAGUUGGUCCUAUCCCAGGAUUGUCGAAGUCCCCCAAAGGGGUUGAGAUGCUGUGGCACCCAUCGGUGGUAAAACCAUAUCUGACUCUUCUAGCAGAAAGUUCCAACCCAGCCACCUUGGAAGGCUCUGCCGGGUCUCUCCAGAACCUCUCUGCUGGCAACUGGAAGUUUGCAGCAUAUAUCCGGGCGGCCGUCCGAAAAGAAAAGGGGCUCCCCAUCCUUGUGGAGCUUCUGAGAAUGGAUAACGAUAGAGUUGUUUCUUCCGUGGCAACUGCCUUGAGGAAUAUGGCACUAGAUGUUCGCAACAAGGAGCUCAUAGGUAUGUUCUGGUGACAAGAUGAGCUGUAAAUGUGAGAGCAGCUACAAAAUUCAUGAAACUCUUCUUUUGAUUAAUAAAUACAUGGCUUGUAAAAUC